GUGAAGCUGGAAGACUGCAGUCAAACACUGGAGCUGAAUGUCAACAUUAAAUAUGAAGAAGAAGAGGAGGAAGAGAAGAUAAAGAAAUCUGUUUCUCAUGGAGACCAUGUUGAGACAUUCUCUACAUCCAGAGAGCAACAGCAGGAAGAUCACAGAGCUAAGAGGUCUCACCACUGCCCACAUUGUGAGGAGAUUUUCCCAAUUCUAUCAAAGCU